rnacentral:rRNA from 1 species
UCAAGUGAAGAAGCGCAUACGGUGGAUGCCUUGGCAGUCAGAGGCGAUGAAAGACGUGGUAGCCUGCGAAAAGCUUCGGGGAGUCGGCAAACAGACUUUGAUCCGGAGAUCUCUGAAUGGGGGAACCCACCUAGGAUAACCUAGGUAUCUUGUACUGAAUCCAUAGGUGCAAGAGGCGAACCAGGGGAACUGAAACAUCUAAGUACCCUGAGGAAAAGAAAUCAACCGAGAUUCCCUUAGUAGUGGCGAGCGAACGGGGAUUAGCCCUUAAGCUUCAUUGAUUUUAGCGGAACGCUCUGGAAAGUGCGGCCAUAGUGGGUGAUAGCCCCGUACGCGAAAGGAUCUUUGAAGUGAAAUCGAGUAGGACGGAGCACGAGAAACUUUGUCUGAACAUGGGGGGACCAUCCUCCAAGGCUAAAUACUACUGACUGACCGAUAGUGAACCAGUACCGUGAGGGAAAGGCGAAAAGAACCCCGGAGAGGGGAGUGAAAUAGAACCUGAAACCGUAUGCGUACAAGCAGUGGGAGCCUACUUGUUAGGUGACUGCGUACCUUUUGUAUAAUGGGUCAGCGACUUAUAUUCAGUGGCAAGCUUAACCGUAUAGGGUAGGCGUAGCGAAAGCGAGUCUUAAUAGGGCGUUUAGUCGCUGGGUAUAGACCCGAAACCGGGCGAUCUAUCCAUGAGCAGGUUGAAGGUUAGGUAACACUGACUGGAGGACCGAACCCACUCCCGUUGAAAAGGUAGGGGAUGACUUGUGGAUCGGAGUGAAAGGCUAAUCAAGCUCGGAGAUAGCUGGUUCUCCUCGAAAGCUAUUUAGGUAGCGCCUCAUGUAUCACUCUGGGGGGUAGAGCACUGUUUCGGCUAGGGGGUCAUCCCGACUUACCAAACCGAUGCAAACUCCGAAUACCCAGAAGUGCCGAGCAUGGGAGACACACGGCGGGUGCUAACGUCCGUCGUGAAAAGGGAAACAACCCAGACCGCCAGCUAAGGUCCCAAAGUUGUGGUUAAGUGGUAAACGAUGUGGGAAGGCUUAGACAGCUAGGAGGUUGGCUUAGAAGCAGCCAUCCUUUAAAGAAAGCGUAAUAGCUCACUAGUCGAGUCGGCCUGCGCGGAAGAUGUAACGGGGCUCAAACCACACACCGAAGCUGCGGGUGUCACGUAAGUGACGCGGUAGAGGAGCGUUCUGUAAGCCUGUGAAGGUGAGUUGAGAAGCUUGCUGGAGGUAUCAGAAGUGCGAAUGCUGACAUGAGUAACGACAAUGGGUGUGAAAAACACCCACGCCGAAAGACCAAGGGUUCCUGCGCAACGUUAAUCGACGCAGGGUUAGUCGGUUCCUAAGGCGAGGCUGAAAAGCGUAGUCGAUGGGAAACAGGUUAAUAUUCCUGUACUUCUGGUUACUGCGAUGGAGGGACGGAGAAGGCUAGGCCAGCUUGGCGUUGGUUGUCCAAGUUUAAGGUGGUAGGCUGAAAUCUUAGGUAAAUCCGGGGUUUCAAGGCCGAGAGCUGAUGACGAGUCGUCUUUUAGAUGACGAAGUGGUUGAUGCCAUGCUUCCAAGAAAAGCUUCUAAGCUUCAGGUAACCAGGAACCGUACCCCAAACCGACACAGGUGGUCGGGUAGAGAAUACCAAGGCGCUUGAGAGAACUCGGGUGAAGGAACUAGGCAAAAUGGCACCGUAACUUCGGGAGAAGGUGCGCCGGCUAGGGUGAAGGAUUUACUCCGUAAGCUCUGGCUGGUCGAAGAUACCAGGCCGCUGCGACUGUUUAUUAAAAACACAGCACUCUGCAAACACGAAAGUGGACGUAUAGGGUGUGACGCCUGCCCGGUGCCGGAAGGUUAAUUGAUGGGGUUAGCGCAAGCGAAGCUCUUGAUCGAAGCCCCGGUAAACGGCGGCCGUAACUAUAACGGUCCUAAGGUAGCGAAAUUCCUUGUCGGGUAAGUUCCGACCUGCACGAAUGGCGUAACGAUGGCGGCGCUGUCUCCACCCGAGACUCAGUGAAAUUGAAAUCGCUGUGAAGAUGCAGUGUAUCCGCGGCUAGACGGA